CAUUCAUGUUUUUAAGUUUGCGAAGGGACCGCUGGAGGUAUCGAUNANNCAAUUUAUUGUUUGUGACUUCCUUUAGUUGUUUCUGAUCAACUUAUAUUUUUUGCGAUAACUUCCUUCUCUUCGUGAGAUUGUAAUUCUUUUUGUACUUUGCAUACUCUAUGCUUGAACUUUCUUCUCGUAGGUUGGUGAUAGUUCGACAUUUAGUAAGGGUGUUUUUCACUUCUGAAAUCGUGUCUUACUUGAGGUGGCCUUUAAUGUGAGGUGUUCUUUUUCAUUUGUGAUUCCUUCCAGAUNCUUUCCUGUAGGUGAUCCCAAAAGGGUUCUGUAAAACCUAGCUUCUUUUGUGAUUGACUUUGCAAUUGAUUUCCAUCCUCGGGUAAUCUGCUCUAGAGGCAUGUUGGCUGGUUAAAUGUGCGAGUUGGAUAACUUUGAUUUUGACAUGUACACUCGGUUUGAUUGUGAUUGCACUGAGCACUCUGCUUGCAUAUUCUCUACACUUGAACUUUCUUCUCGUAGGUUGGUGAUGGUUCGACAUUUAGUAAGGGUGUUUUUCACUUCUGAAAUCGUGUCUUACUUGAGGUGGCCUUUAAUGUGAGGUGUUUUUUCUUCGUUUUUCUUUCCAGUUUGCUUUGUUGUAGCUUCACCCCAUUGAAUUGGGUUGUUGGAAACGCAUCUUGACCUACUACGGUAGCACUCGAUAACGCCCAAUUGUAAAAGAAUUUGCUUCUUUUGUGUACUAACCCCUAGGAAUAGGGGAUAAAACCGGGCAAUUGAUUUCCAAGUAACUCCUCGGGUACACUUCCGCAGAGGCAUUGGCAGCUUAAAGUGCGAGUUUGAUAACGUUGAUUUAACAUGUACACUCGGUUUGAUUGUGAUGGUGAUGAGAUAUGCUUGUAAUGCUUGUACAAUUCUAUAUAAUACUUAACACACUAGAGAAUAAACAAUUUUUGACAUACAACCCGUGGCGGGGGAUGUCUCGGCUUCCACAUCGAUGAAGAACGUAGCAAAAUGCGAUAUGUAAUGCGAUUUGCAGAACUCGUGAGUCAUCGAAUUUUUGAACGCAAGUUGCGCUCGCGGGAAAUCCUGCGAGCACGUCUGUUUGAGUGUCCGUACAAAAACUAAAACACUUGUUUUUUAUUUUUCCUUUUGUCGACUUUGUUGCUUGCAAUGAUUUUGACAGUGUUGAGUGUUUCCGUUCACAGUGCAUUUUACAUGUACAGGAUGGUCACUUUAAGUUGAGGGGUACUGUUCUUCGUGAACUUUACCAUUGGCAUGGUUUUUUAAACCUUACUACACCGUUCCCCUUCUACUUGUUAAGUAGUUAGGAGAUGCUCACUUGCCUAUGACUUCGUUUUUCACUUAGAAUUUUUGUCUAGGUACUGAUGUUUUCCUUCGGCUGAGGUGCGAUUGUUGUGAAGUGAUUACUUGAAAUGCAACUAUUCAACAACCUCUGAGGGACGAUAGCUUUACUGUUUGAACACAAUUUGGACUUGUGAUUUAAGUUGUCGCGCUUGUGUGUUACUAAGACGCGUAGCAAAACAGUGC
rnacentral:rRNA from 1 species